rnacentral:rRNA from 1 species
UACCCGCAGCACAAGUGGUGGUCAUUAUUAUUGGGCCUAAAGCGUCCGUAGCUGGCUUGUUAGAUGCCUGGGUAAAUCGAUGCGCUCAACGCAUCGAACUCCGGGUAGACCGGCAAGCUUGGGACCGGGAGAGGCGUGAGCUACUCGAGGGGUAGGGGUAAAAUCCUGUAAUCCUUCGGGGAGGACCAGUGGCGAAGGCGUCACGCUAGAACGGCUCCGACAGUGAGGGACGAAGCCCUGGGGCGCAAACGGG